UGUGCAUCAGCCCCUGCCGUGGCAGGUCCAGUACGUGACUCAGAGCCGGCGAACCAGCCGAGACAGCGAGAAAGGAGGGAGUUCUCGGCACAACAGCAUCUAUUCAAUUCCAGGACGGAAAGGUGACGGCAGUGCAGCACCCAGCAGUGAGAGUGAGGAGCUGAGCGAUCCAGCAGAGAGGGCCGCAGUGACCAUCCGGACUCACGACCACAAAUACCAGCAGCACAAGCAGGGAAAGUAGAGCGCAGCCCACGGCGUCUUCUCUGC